rnacentral:lncRNA from 1 species
GCAGAAACAUACUUUAUCAAAAGCAGAACCAGAGCAAAUGUGGGAUGCGCUUUUUAAAACGGUUGCUGGUGACUGAACUGCAGAAAGCAAAAUCACAGACGAGGGGGACUACUAUAAAUUCAUACUGGUUGAAUAAAUAUUGGAGAUUCUCUCUGGCUCCUUUACAGGCAUGUUGCAUGGAUGUGACUCUUGACUGCUCUGAGGUUACUUUCUUAAAGCUUUUAAUUCAAAGUUAAAGAAGAAUUUUUUUCACUCCCCAGUCUGAGAAUUCCAGAGAUCUACAUCAGAGAGGAAAUAUAGUUGUCAUUCUCAUUACAGAGGCUGCAUUCGCCCCUGGAUUCACAGCUG